CAACUAUAGCCACAUUGAUUUUUGGUUUUUGUACAUAUGAAAAGCAGUAUUAUGUGUAAAUUGCAGCAAUAUAACAAUACAUAUCCAUUCAAAAUCAAAAUGGUUAAUUUGUAAAACCGCAGCAAACUCAAUUUGCAUCCAUGAAAAGUCUAAUUAGUUGCUCCUCUCUCCCACGUUUUUUUCUCAAGAGUAAAUACUUCUCUUCUUCUUCUUCUUCUUCUUCUUUGGAGGUUUCACCAUGGUCCGGUCUCCAAGCAUGGCGGGAUAGUCCGCUCAAUGAGAACCGCUUCUGGGGACCUAAUGGUCCAGAGUCUCGACCGCUGUCGUCGCCCUCUUCAAUUGUCGCCAAUGAAUAUGGAAUUGGGUCUGCUUCCUCUCUUGCAGAGCUUGGAGCUAUUGUUCUCUCCACUAGUGACCCCCUCACAAAAUCCAAACUUUCUCAUCUUGCUUUCUCCAGGUGGCGCAACGAGAAGCUUCCUAUUGGGGAUUUUGCCCCUCCUUCUAAACCUGCUCGUCCUCUUAAACCCGAAUUGGUUUCACCAAAGGAAAUUCCAGCCCCCAAAGAUUCUGGCUUACCUCUCAAUGCUUAUACGCUCCACAAUCUUGCUCAUGUGGAGCUUAAUGCAAUUGAUUUGGCAUGGGAUACAGUUGUUCGAUUUUCACCUUUUAGUGAGACUCUAGAAGAAGGAUUCUUUGCUGACUUUGCACAUGUUGCCGAUGAUGAGAGUCGCCAUUUUGCUUGGUGUUCCCAGAGACUUGCUGAGCUUGGUUUCAAGUAUGGAGAUAUGCCUGCUCAUAAUUUGUUGUGGAGGGAGUGUGAAAAAUCAUCUAACAAUGUUGCGGCAAGGUUGGCUGCAAUCCCACUUGUCCAGGAGGCGAGAGGACUUGAUGCUGGACCUAGACUGGUACAAAAAUUGAUUGGUUUUGGAGACUCCAAGACAUCUAAGAUUGUGGUUAGAAUUGCAGAUGAGGAAGUUGCACAUGUUGCUGUUGGUGUCUAUUGGUUUGUCUCUGUCUGUCAGAAAUUAGGCCGUGCCCCUUGUUCCACUUUUAAAGACUUGUUAAGGGAGUACAAUGUGGAGAUAAAAGGGCCCUUCAAUUAUUCAGCUAGAGAUGAAGCUGGGAUUCCCCGGGAUUGAAUAUCAAUCUUCUUUUGAAGCUGCAUGUAAAGAUAGCUAUUUUUAUUGAGCUUCUUUUAUUCUCUGCUGUGAAGGUAUGAUGCAUCAGUUACAAAUAAACAAGACAACAAUGAUAGACACGGUGCAAAUGAACAGCUUACUGCGGUUUAUGGGAGACUUGCCUCUAUCAUCUCCAUGGAGUGUGAUAAUGCAAGUUUGAACAAGCGCCCAGGUUGAUUCUUCUAUCAUAGAAGCAUAGGAGCUCAAGCUCAAGAAUGUUGUACUGGAUAUUAACAUAACUCCAGGAAUGUCAUUCUUGGAAUUUGGAAUUGCAGCACCGCUUUAAUCUCGAGUCAGGCAGGAGAGGCGAAAAGCAAGAGAGUAUCAUAUCCAUAUCAGACUACUCGUCUUAUUGGAGAUCAAUUCCUGGCAGCCUAGUUAUGCCUGCCCUUUCUGGAAGUCAAUUGGUUUUUGGUAGAACUAACAUAGUUUUACUUGAUUUUUGGAAUGGCAAAUGCAAUUAAAUCAGUAGAUAAUGUUGUGGAUCUCUUAAAGCUUUAAUUGCUCAACCAAAAUUUUAUUGAUCCAUUAGAAGUAAACUGCGCAGGUCCAUUUAAUUGAAAAAGUUAUUCUGUGACAA